UUCAUGUUUGUGGCUGUAAUGUGACAAAAUGUGGAAAAGUUCAAGGGGGCCGAAUACUUUUGCAGCCACUGUAUGAAGCUAAAGUUUCACAGCAAUCCUUUUACAGGUCCAAACUUUGGAUCGUGAAACCGAGAGCCCACGGGACUGAGAUGGACUGAAGAAGCGUUUCUUCAGAGCUUCAUCCUGCAGUCUGCUCGUUCUGCUCGUGAACAUACGAAGCUCAUCAUCAGCUGCACACGAUGCAUAUAAGGGAGCUACAGAAAUACACGUUAUGAAGAUGAAGGUGUCUGGAGACCAGAGAAAAUGUCACAUGACCUUUUAACAUCCACUCAACUGGAAACUUACUAAGACGAACUCCGGGGUCAGACUCUCUGUAAGAGGCGUGAUCUGACAGCUUAAGUAUUCUGGUCUCUGUGUGAAUGGGUUGCAACCUAAUCUCGACCCAAAUGAACAAAAAUGACCGCAAAUUGCUUCAAAACGUCCCAAAUUGAUGCAAAACGACGCCCAAAGGGCUCAGAGAGACCCACGACCUCCACGGAGACACACAGACUCGCCACCGAGAAAAAACCGUCCACAGGGAGGCGGUGGAACAAGAAGCACAAAAACAAGCGAUUGAAGACGAGCUGAGCGUGUGCCGUCGUGGUCAUGUUGCUUUCACGUGUCCGUGCUCAGCUGGGAGCCUCCCACUCUGAGCUGCGCUUGUUCCGUGUGAUAAUGAAGCGCUUGUUGCCACGAUAACAGACAGUUUGACAUCGGGAACAAUCACGGCUCUCUGCUUUAGCUCGUCUGCCAGCAGCUUAUUCAGUGUUGUGCCUGACAGGAAUGAAAAGCUAGAGUGUAAGGAUGUAUAAAGGCUUUAUAUUUCUAUUAGAAAUGCCCUGCUGCACAUGGUCUAUACUGUGGUGACUGUAUAUACUGUAAAUGCUGCGGAGCCUGUUUUUAAAGGACAGUAUUUUUCUUUUAAAUUGGACGAUUGUGCCAAAAUGAUCGAAUGCAAAGAAAAAGGUGCUAUCCUGCGACGCUUCGCUGUACUUUUGCCAUAUUUGUUCAGUCUUUAGCACAGCCAAUGAUCUAUUUUAAAAAUGUUCCCGAUGCCAUUUUCCACUGAUGUUCUGCAGGAGCAGUUCAGCUUCAGCCAAAGCUUCAGAGGCGUUUGAACAGCUGCAUGAUCGACUGCUGCUUUCAGCUCGUUCCUAAGUCUGUGUUUUAUAAUUAUUAUAAAGGUUUUUUUGCUCAUGUUUAAUGCAGAAAUAAAUUUGCCAUGAUCAAAACGAUCAGCCUGACUUUUUUUUAUAUGUGUCUGAAUUUAAAUUCAUAUUUUUGAGAAAUUUCUCAUUUUUAAAAAUGAUUUUGCUUCAUAAAUACGAGCAGCUGAUUUUCAGAGUCCUCAAUAGUUUGAGUAGUUUUUCUCAGACUGUAUUUAAAAGAUGGAUGCAGCUGUUAGUUCUACAGAGAGGCCAGCAGGGGGCGACUCUUGUGGUCUGAUUGUAUAGAAUUAUAUUUAAUAUAUAUUUUCAUGAAUAUUGUUCAUAUUUUCAUACAGUUUUAUUUACACUAUUUAAAACAUGUUUUCCUUAAAUUUUUCAGAAAACAUUUAAUCAUAUAUUCUGAUAAUUCAUGAAUUUGAGAUUUAAGCAGAUGGCCCCGCCCCUCCCUGAGCCUGGUUCUGCUGGAGGUUUCUUCCUGUUUAAAGGGAGUUUUUUCUUCCCACUGUCGCCAAAACGCUUGCUCAUUAUUAUUGUAGUUUCUUUGCCUGAGAAUAUAAAACGCUUGUUGUGAUUUGGUGCUAUACAAAUAAAAUUGAAUGAAUUAAUAUUUUUGGUCAUAUAAUUGGUCAAUAACAGUCUGCUUUAUCGUUUAGUAAUUUUAAAAAAAAUAAAUCUUUGGACAUGUUUUUCUGAUCUGCGUGAGAAUGUUAUUUGAAUAUUUUGGUUGAAAUUUAUUACUAUUCAUGAAAUGUUUAUUUUCACCAGUCAAAAACAAUUAAAAAUAUUUUUUAUUUCAUUCUUUUUUCUGUGUUUUUCUAAUAUUUUCUAAAGUAAAAAAGCGAGAUACUAAUUUAUUUAAUUGCAGAUUAUUAUUUAAUGCUCUCAGUUGCAGUUUUGAGGUAUUUUAUACUGAGUUAAUACUCAUCUGUGGAGCCCCGCAAGGGACAUUGAAGAAAAAAAUUAAGAUAACGUUUUGCUCAUCUUCAUUUUUUUCUCCAUUGUCCUUUGCGGCGCUCUGUACUCAUCUUAUACUUCAUAAUAACAUUUAAAAUGAACAUUUUCCCAUCACUGGACAAUGUUACACAUUUUUCGAUAUAUUAGAUGCUUUUUUUGAUACUCAGCUUCCAGCUUUUAAAACAAUGUUCCUAAUACUGCAGGUGCUCCGUGAUUAUUAUUGUUUGGAUGAACUGAUUAGAUGACGACCUUAGCUGAAGUUUUCAGUAAUUAGUUCAAGAAAAAAAAAUUUAACUAACAAAAAGUAAAUGAAGCAAAGACGACACAUCUUCUUUCUUUGUUUGGUGGUGUUUACCAAUGACUACAUAAUGAUGUCAUUUUACUCGCUGACGACCGUUUUGCUCCGGACAGAUCUGCGUCACUAACGCUCAACCAAUAUCGGUGUGCGCACUCAAACACCUGCCACUACGUCACUUCAAGCUGCUGAAACGUCAUCAGGAUCUACAGGUGCUGCUUUCACCUGAUAGACGAUGUUCUUUAUUCUACAGUUAAACACGUCAGGCUUACAGACAGAAGCAUAAUCCACUGAUAUGUGCCUUAUAGAUCGAUACAGACUGACUACAGGACGUGACACGAAA